CGAGCCGACUGCAGCUCUCUUCGCCAGAAAUCGCCGAUUUUCUUCUCCAAUGGAUUUCUCCCUCCUCAGGCAAGCGUUUGAGGUGAAACAAAGUCCAGACCAGCUCGCCUCCUCCCCACGAGCAGCCUGGUGGCCUCCUUUCCUCCCCUCACGGCGGCUACGCGGCGGUGGAGCUCGAAACCGAUUUUUGCUCAAUUUUGAGUCAACGCCGAUAUCUCGAGUUCUAGACGAUCAAUCUUCGAGAUUCUUGACAGAUGAACUCGGAUUGAAGUUCUGAAACAGUUUCAUGAAGAAAUCGAAGCGAGUGGUGGACGUUUUCACGUCGAUCAGAGCACCUGCCGGUUUCUGGAAAAAUUCCGGCGAACCCGUGGCUUCUAGGUGAUUGACGGUCUUCCUUGGUGAGCGGUUUUGGUGUGUAUUGUGAAAGUGAAGACGCAGCGGGAUUAGAGCGGGUAAUCCUACAGGUCAGGAAAAUCGAGAAGGUGAUCAGGCUGCUUAGAGUAGUGAGAUUGGAGUUACAACUUUAUUGUGAGGUUGUUAUGCUCAUUGAGCUUACAUUUAAAUUUGGUGAGAGUGUGUUGUAAUAUUAAAUUCUUGAGGAUUUGGUUUAUGUAUUAGUGAGUGAGGCUAGAUGUGUUUAUAUCUGAGAAAAAAUUCAGAAUGUUUUAUUUGAUUAAGUUGUUUAUUUCAUGUUUCGGAUUUGAAUUUAUUAUUCAAAAUUCGGGGCGUGACAAUUGCAUGUCCAUUGGGAUUGAU